CCUGAGGAGCCGAGGGGCAGUCAGUGAGGUGGGCCUAUGUAGAUGGCACACCCUCCUGGAUGAGAUGAGUUACUCCAGUUUUCUUCUCACUCUGGCUUACAGGAACCAAAAGCAUUGCGGAGCUCAACUCAUGGCUACCCAGUGAAGCUGCACGUGGAAGCACCAUGCAACCCAUCGAGGGACCUCUGGCACCUACAGAGCCUGCUAGUCCCAAAGGACUUUCCACAGGAGGAACUGAAAGAGCAGAGACCACUACUAUGGCUCUGAAGACCACUUCCACAGCCACUGUGACCACCACAGUCUCCAUUCCCACCUUGAGAACACUCAUUGUCCCAACAUCAGCCAGUACAAGUCCAAAAGGAAUGAUCAUUACAACCUCAACUGUUUCUCCUGCUGUUCCAGAGAUGACAGCCUCAUUGGCCACUCGUCUUAGAGAAGAUACCAGCAUAAUAGUUUCCAAGGAAACUCCAUCUUCCUUCAGUAGAGAAUCAGAGACCACUACCUUGGUGGUCCCCAGUUCUGGGGCAGAGACCAGGCCAGCUACUCAAGCUCUGACUGCUUCCUCUGGUGAGUCAGGCACAGUGGACUCACUGAUCACUCACCCUGCAGAGACAAGAACGCCUGUUUCCAGAACAACCUCCGAAUUUCCACGUUCUGAAUCGGAUGCCACACUCUCAGUGGACAACAGUCCUAGGACAGAAACCAGUCCAGCCAUUCCAACAACUGCUGUCUCAUCUGACAUCCCAGGGUUGACAACCUCACUGGUCACUACUUCUAGGACAGACACUGGCUCAACUAAACCAACUCUGACUCCUCCCGAUGAACAAGAGAGCACAACCUCCUUGGUGACUGAUCUUGGAGCACAAGGUUCAGCCAUUCCAAGUCCAACUAGCUCACCUGGCAUGUCAGAGAUGGUGACAACACUGGUUAGUAGUUCUGAGACAGAGACAAGUACAAGCAGCCAAAUUCCGACUGUCUCUCCAAAUCAGAUGGAUAUCACAGCUUCAAGGGUCACCCAAUCUGGAACAAAAGUCAGUUCAGCGCUUCCAACUUGGACUAUUUUGUCUGGCGGGUCACAUGCAACAACUUCGUGGGUUACUCAUUCUGUAGAGACCAGCUCAGCAGUUCCCAGAACAGCCCCAGGUUUUCCCCAUAGUGAAUCCAAUACCACAUCCCUAACAACCACCAGUCCUGUGGAAGAAACCAGUUCAGCUGUCUCCUCUUCCACUCUUUCACCCGAUGGAACAAAUAUGGUGACCUUAUUGGUCACUAGUUCCAGAAGAGCAACCAGUACAAGUAUUCCAAAUCCAACUAGUUCUGCUGGUGCAUCAGAGACCACAUCCUCAUUGGUUACCCAUCCUGGGCCACAGACUAGUUCAGCCAUUCCAACUCUAACUGUCUCUCCUAGUGUACCAGGAACAAUGACUUCAUCAGUCACUAGUUCUAGAAAAAAGAAUAGUAUGGUUCCAAUCCUGACUGUUUCCCCAGGGCCACCAGAGACCACAGCCUCAUGGGUCACUCAUCCUGAGUCAGAAGCCAGUUCUUCUGUUCCAACCCUGACUGUUUCAGCAAGUGAGCUGUAUACAACAGCUUCACUGGUCUCCCAUCCUACAGAGACCAAGUCAGCUGUUCCCAAAACAACCCUAAGUUUUUCCCAUAGUGAAUCCAAUGCCACACCCUUAACAGCCAUCAGUCCUGAAGAAGAAGUCAGGUCAUCUGUCUCAAGUUCUACUGUUUUACCUGAGGUCCCAGGAGUAAUGACUUCGCUGGUGACUAGAUCUACAACAGUGGUUAGUACAAGUACUCCAACUGUGGCUCUUUCUUCUUCUAGAUCAAGUAUUACAUCUUCAAGGGUCACCCAUUCUGGGGCAGAUUCCAGUUCAGCUGUUUCAACUCUGUCUAUUUCAACUGCUGAGCCAGAUACAACAGCCUCAUCAGUCCCUCUUCCUGCAGGGACCAGCCCAACAAUUCCCAGGACAACCCCUAAAUUUUUCCAUACUGAAUCCAAUACCAUACCUUUAACAGCCACCAGUCCUGGGGAAGAAGCCAGUUCAGCUGUCUCAACUUCUGGUGUAGGGUUGCUGACUUCACUGGUCACUAGUGCUGGAACAGACCCCAGUAUGUUUCCAACUCUCACUGUUCUCUCAGGCCAACAGCAGACCACAGACUCACGGGUAACCCAUCCUAGAUCAGAAGCCAGUUCUUCCACUCCAACUUUGUCUGUCUUUCCUGGUGAGCCAGAUACAACUUUCCCCUUGGUCACCCAUUCUGCAGAGACCAGCUCGACUGUUUUCAUGAAAAGCCCGAGUUUUUCCCCUAGUGAAACACACUCCACAACCCCAACAGUCACCAUUCCUGGGACAGAAUCUAAUUCAGCUGUUUCAACUACAACUAUCUUGUCUGGUGUUCCAGAUAUGGUGACUUCACAGGUCCCUACUUCUGGAAUAGAUGCCAAAACAAGUAAACCAACUCUGACUCCUUCUGAACCAGCAAUCACAACCACAUUGGUCACCUCUGCUGGGACACAGACAAGUUCAACCAUUCCAACUCUGGCUGUCUCCCCGGGCAUAUCAGAGAUGACCUCACUGGUCACUAGCUCCGAGACAGAAACAAGUACAACAACUCCAAUUCUCACUGUUUCCCCAGAUCAACUGGAUACAACAGCCUCAUGGAUGACCCAUCCUGGGUCAGCUGCAAGUUCAGAUUUUCCAACUCUGUCCAUUGCCUCUGGUGAGCCAGAUACAACAGCCUCAUGGGUCAUUCAUCCUGCAGCAAUCAGCCUACCAGUUUCCAGGACAAUCCUCUAUUUUCCCCAUAGUAUAUCAGACACCACACCCUCAAUGACUACCAGUCCUGAGGCAGAAGCCAGUUCAGCUGUUCCCACUCCCAGCAUUUCACCUGAGGUACCAGGGGCAGUGACCUCAUUAGUCACGAGUUCUAAAACUGUGAUCAGUACAAGUACUUCAGCUUUGACUCAUUCUUCUGGUGAACCAGAAACCACAGCCUUAUUAGUCACCCAUCCUGAGCCACGUUCAUCCCUUCCAACUGUAGCUGUUUCCUCUAGUGUACCAGGGAUAGUGACCACAUUAGUCACAGAGACAAGCACAACUUAUCCAAAGUUGACCAAUUACUCACAAGAACCAAAGACUACAGCCUCAAGGGUCACCCAUUCUGGGUCAGAAGCCAGUCCAACUAUUUCAACUCUGACUGUUUUCCCUGGUGAGCCAGAUACAAUGGUUUCAUUGGUCACUCAUUCUUCAGAGACUAGGACACCUGUUUCCAGAACAGCCCCAGAGUUUCCCCAGAGCAAAUCACACUUCACAUCCUCAAUGGCUACCAGCCCUGGGGCAAAAACCAGUUUACCUGUUCCAACUACAAUGAUCUCACCUGGUAUACCAGGUACAGUGACCUCACAGGUUACUAAUUCUGGGACAGACACAAGUACGGCUACUUCAACUCUGACUCCUUCUCCUGAUGAAACAAAGAUCACAGCUUCUGCAGUCACCUAUCCCGGGGCACAGAGCAGUCCUGCUGUUCCAACUCUUACUGUUUUCUCUGGUGAACCAGCUACAACCUCAUCGGUCACUCAUUCUUCAAAAACCAGUACACCUGUUUCUAGAACAAUCUCCGGUUUUUUGCAUGGUGAAUCAGAUACCACACUCUCAAUGGCCAGCAGUCCUAGGCCAGAAUCCAGUUUGCCUGUGCCAACAACGAAUGUCUCACCUGGGGAACCAGAUGUGGUAACCUCACAGGUCACUACUGGGCCACCAACUGGUACAACAAUUCCAACUAUGACUGUAUCUCCUAGUGAAACAGAAACCACGGCCUUAAUGAUCACCCACCCCAGUGCAGAGACAAGUACAAAUUUUCCUGUUUCAACUAUUUUUCCUCCUGUGUUGGAGACCAUGGCCUCACCAUCUGUCAGACCUGAGGUGGAGAUUAGCACAGCUCUUCCAACUCAGACUGCUUCCCCUGGUGGACCAGAGAUAGCAACUUCUCUCUUCACCUCUGCUGUGACUGAGCUGGGUAGAGUUGAUCUAGGUCCAACAGCUUCACCUGGUAUUCCUGUGGAAACAGCUUCAUUGUCUGCUCAUCCUGGGACAGAGACCAGCACAAGGACUCCAACUGCAACCCUUUUCUCUGGUCGAUCAGAGGCCACAAGUUUAUGGGUCACCAGCCCUGCACUAGAGGCCAGCACAGGCAUUCCAACUCUGACUGUUCCCCCCAGUAUCCCUUGGCUUUCCAGUGCCCCUACAACAACAGGUAAGCCUAAGGCCAUAACUUCCUGGAGCACAGAAACUCCACCACCUGCAACAUCAGCUGGACUCCUAGACUUUUCCAAAACUGUUGCAGGCCCCACUAUGACCCUGAUAACAUCGGAGACCCCAACACUACCUACAACCAGUCACAGAGAAGGAGUGAGUCCAACCACUAUGUUGAAAACUACAACUGUGGAGACCACUCAUUUAGCUGCCACAGGUUCAAGUCCCACCACAGCUGAGAUCACAAGCAACUUCAGUAUUACAAUAGCCAGAAGUCCAUUUGCCUCAGAGACCACACCUGGGAUGUAUACUUUGGCUUCUGAGACUGUGACUUCAGGAACAAAAUCCCCCACACCCAUGACCCCUACUCUCAGCUCUACAGCUGUAGGAGUCAGCCCAGUCCUGGUGCCUUUCACACUCAACUUCACAAUCACCAACCUGCAUUACACUCCAGACAUGGGGCACCCUGGCUCCUUGAACUUCAACUUCACGGAGAAGGUCUUGAUCCACCUGGUAAGGGCCCACCAGUGCCUACCCUGGCUCACCUUGUCCUUGCUCCACCCAAUCCCCUAG
rnacentral:lncRNA from 1 species